rnacentral:lncRNA from 1 species
UGCAUUUCAUCUAUUAAAUAUAUCACGAUGAAGGCACACUGUAUAUUUUUAGCAUUGUUUCUUUUUGCAGCAAUACUUGCAACAGGUAUGUUAAAGGAUUUUAUUAUUACACUAUUUUUUUUUACAUCUCCUUGUAGAAGAUAGAAGAGGUAGUUAAUAGUUUCCUUCCCUCGUCGUUUUAAUUUUUUAUCCUUUUCUUUUUUUCUUUUUAUUUCUACGAAAAAAUAUUUAAACAUGACAUGAUUUCAUAGUGAUUAUGUUGACUUUGUUUUGAAACAUGAAACAUUAUUUGACGUUUUUAUAUUUUUUGGAGCAUUUUACAUUAUCGAUUGGUGUUUUGAAAGUUUGGGCUGAAUUAUAUAACACAUCACUUUAUAAAAGAAAAUAUAUUAUUUUAAUAAGAAUUGAUGAUAUCUUGAAAAAAAUCUAUAUCGCCAUAUAUUCAUUUGUCUAUUCAAUCGAAAUAAUUAUCUCUGUGCAUGGAAACUGCUCAAUGUAGAGUCAACCAGCGUCACCAUAUGGAACUCUUGGUUUAAUAGCUUCCUUGACAGCAGCAACCCUCUAUCAAGGAAAUCAUGAUAGGAAAUACAAGCCCAGGAGUAUUGUAUCAAUUUAGGAGAUAUAUACUCCGUAUGCAGGCGCUGCCGGAAUGUUGCUACUUAGAAAUGGAAAGUUUACAAAUGGGAAGUUGAAAUCAUUUUUGUUGUCGUAAAGUUUUCUUUUUAACCGACCUUCAUUGUCAAUUUCUAGAUGUUAGUCAAGAUAUGAGGUAGACUUAACUGAAUCUGUUUUAUUCUUUAUCUCUAGUUCGAUGGGAUAGAUGCGUUUAACAGCAUCAACAAAUUUUGAAUUAUUUAGUAAGAGAACAUCCUUUUUAGCGAAAAGAAAAGUUAAAGGAUAUUACUAACUCCUGAUGUUUCUUCCUAGGAAGUUCCUGUAUGAAGUCUGCAUUAUAAAAAUAAUAAAAAAAUAAACAAGUCGGCAGGAAGAGGGGCACAAUUGUUUCCCAUAGGAAUGCCGACAGUCUAUUAAAAACACCCCCCAAACGUAACAAAUAUGUUGUCAAUCAAGAAUUAUAGGAAGUAAGAUAAUAUUAUUAACUCUUUUUUUUCUAUAGGUUCUGUACCUUAAUUCCUCUCAUUGAUGUCUUUGCAGAACAUGUACAUAAUUAGAAAUAUUAAUGGGAAGUGAAUUUGAACACGUUCGUCUAUGUGAUAUUUUGCUUGACAUUUUUGUUUUUAAAGCUUUUAGUUCUGCCAACUUAUACGGGACUUUCCGUUUGAAAUUUUCUUAGGAGUUUAGAAUUGUUAUUAUUUUACAUUUAGAACAAGACACGUUUAAUUGAAAUGGAGACGUUUGAGAGAUAGAAACGUUUCAAAGUGUUACAUAUUUACUAGUUAAUGACUGAUUGUUCUUAUACAGUGACAAACAUUCUUUGAACGAUUCAAACCUUAUCGGUCCUAAUAUUGCAGUAGACUCCAUUAAAGACUCAUAAAGGAGACAAUAUGCAACACCGCAUUCACAAAAUUAAGGCUUAUACUAAGCAAUAUCUACUGUGAGCGUCACUAAUGAAGGUAAAUCCGGAAAAAAGCUUCAGACGCAAGAAAUGUAUAACGUGUUGUUUUUAUUUUCAUAUCAUUACAUUAGAUGCAUGUUUCAUUAUGAUACCUUAUUCUGACUGGCUUACUGCACAUCACGUGUUAUUCCGUAAGCAAUUGCAUUGCUUAAUAAAACUUUUCAUUCGUGAUAACACGUGGACCCACAAUAAAGUGCACAGGUGAAUUAAAUAAAACAAUAAUAAAAUCGUGUUUCAUGAUCAUUGCUAAAAAAGUAAUUACAAGUAUUGAAGCUUCUUUUUGUAACUUCAUAGGGUUGAAAAAGCGUUGACCGUGCGCACAUUGUUAGUAUGAAGCGCUUCUGCGCUUCAUACAAAAUGUACUUCGGUCAACGCUUUUACACCCCAAAGAAGCAUUCAAUUCUUAAAACAAAACCUAUGCUAAGAAGUUAGAUAACUUAAUAUUCUUUUUGUUAAUGAAAUAUUGUGAUUAAGAAAAACUUAAAAUUGAUUUGUAAAGAUUAUCAAACUAGAAUCGACUUCAGGUUAAGGUUAAAUGUAAGGUGUAUUUAAAAAGACAAUAUAAAUAAGGCAGUUACAUGGGGAAGGAUGUUGUAUUUCAUUGGUGCUGUGGAUGCAUUAAAGUUAAUAAAGACAAAAUGUAUGAUUAAAUUCUUUUAUGAAAAAUGCCGAAAAGAUAUAAUUCAGUAAAUAUAUGGCAUUCAAUCGUAUUAAGUAGAAAUAAUGAUAAAAAAAUAAUGUUUAACGGAUUGAAAAGUAACAUUUCAUACAUUUGAAAAUGUGUAGUUCUGUAUAGUGGACCUCUUAUUUUUGUGUGACUCACCAUUAUCAUUGUUAGUACUUUUAGGUGCAUUGUGUUCUUAUUGUGUACAAUAAUUACAUUUAAAAACUUAGACAUGAAAUUUAAUUGUUUAAGGUAGCUCAUAUCCCUGCCACUCUAUUGGAGGAUAUUGUACCACGCGUAGAUGUAGAAAAGGAUACUUUUGCAAUCCAGCUGAUGAUGUAAACAGUCAUCCAGAUUGUUCGUAUAUACAACAUUGUUGUCAACCGU